CAGAGUUGGAAACACUACAGAAACUGCAUGAGGAAAAGACAAAAAAGAUUCAAGAACUGAAAGACCAAAUUGAAUCUGUGAAGCUUCACUUGGAGAGGAGGAGGAAGGAAGUUUCAGAGGAGAUGAAAGAAUCUUUCAAGAACUUGAGCAUGAAAUACAAUACCCUGAGAGAAGAAUGCAGUGCUUUGCUGGAUGAAAAGUCAAGGGAAUAGAAUAGUCUUG
rnacentral:misc_RNA from 1 species